rnacentral:sRNA from 1 species
GACCGGAGAAAACGUGUGGAGGACUACUCAUUCGUCGUGUCGAUAGAAUUUGCCCGAAUCUAAAUUAUACAUAUAAAAUUGAGUGGGAACUUAUGGACAACUGUUGCGAAGUGGUUUGCGAGGACCAGUGGAUUAAGGAAACCUUUUGCAGAGCGCCCAGGUUCAACUUUUUCGGACCUUCAUUCAAAGCCCUUGAAAGAUCGUGUGGACCAAAACUGUUCACAAGGGUUAAAACUGUGUGCGGUGGUAAGUAGUCUGUAACAAAAUCCGCAUACCAAUUGAUAUUCAGAAGACAUCAAUGUUGAUAAUAAAGUCAAGAUUUCGGAUCACUGCUGCACACCAGAGGGAGGAUGCACAGACGACUGGAUCAAGGAGAACGUCUGCAAACAGACCAGAUUCAACUUUUUCCGACAAUUUCUCGAUUCCCCUCAAAGAUCAUGUGGACCCCAGUUGUUCAAAAGAGUGAAUACUUUGUGUAAUGGUAGGUUAUUUGUUGUGAAAACGAAAAUCCGCACAUUAAUUGAUAUUCAGAAAAUAUCAAUGUUGAAAAUAAUGUAAGCGUGUCGAAAAGCUGUUGCGAAUCAGCGGCAGGAUGCACGGAUGAUUGGAUUAAGAAGAAUGUCUGCACACAGCAUAAGCCUUUUGUUUUCCGUCCAGGCUUUUACUGAUUGUCAUUUUGGG